rnacentral:RNase_P_RNA from 1 species
CGAGUAGACGAGGAAGCGGCCGGGCGGGUAUUCCGCCCGGAGGAAAGUCCGGGCUCCGCAGGGCGGGACAGCUGCUAACGGCAGCCGGAGGCGACUCCAGGGAAAGUGCAACAGAAAACUACCGCCGGAUAUUUCCGGUAAGGAUGAAAAGGCGAGGUAAGAGCUCACCAGGGCGCGGGAGACCGCGCCGCUGUGUAAACCCUGUCCGGAGCAACGCCAGCUGGGGCGACGCGGCGGCCCGCCGGGCCCCGAAAGGCGGCUUGACGCUCGUGGCGACACGCAGCGCAGAUAGAUCGUUUCCUACUACAGAACCCGGCUUAUUGUCUGGUCGCGCC